rnacentral:piRNA from 1 species
UCCUAGGAUGAUCCGGACAGCCGAAGCCGC